GACGAACGCUGGCGGCGUGCCUAAUACAUGCAAGUCGAACGCAGUGGGGACGGGUGAGUAACACGUGGGUAACCUCCCAUCAGAGGGGAUAACACUUGGAAACAGGUGCUAAACCGAUACUGAUGGAUGGACCCGCGGGGCAUUAGCGAGUUGGUGGGGUAACGGCUCACCAAGGCCACGAGGCAUAGCCGACCUGGGAGGGUGAUCGGCCACACUGGGACUGAGACCCGGCCCAGACUCCUGCGGGAGGCAGCAGUAGGGAAUCUUCGGCAAUGGACGAAAGUCUGACCGAGCAACGCCGCGUGAGUGAAGAAGGUUUUCGGAGCGUAAAGCUCUGUUGUUGGUGAGGCGGUAUCGAACGAGAAAGCCACGGCUAACUACGUGCCAGCCGCCGCGGUAAUUC
rnacentral:rRNA from 1 species